UACCAGCACCCCGAGUGGUCGGGACGAUUAUUUGGCCUAAAGCAUCCGUAGCCGGUUCUACAAGUCUUCCGUUAAAUCCACCUGCUUAACAGAUGGGCUGCGGAGGAUACUAUGGAGCUAGGAGGCGGGAGAGGCAAGCGGUACUUAGUGGGUAGGGGUAAAAUCCGUUGAUCCAUUGAAGACCACCAGUGGCGAAGGCGGCUUGCCAGAACGCACUCGACGGUGAGGGAUGAAAGCUGGGGGAGCAAACCGG
rnacentral:rRNA from 1 species